rnacentral:rRNA from 1 species
UACGUAUGGGGCAAGCGUUAUCCGGAUUUAUUGGGUUUAAAGGGUGCGUAGGCGGGUUAUCAAGUCAGCGGUAAAAUCGUGGAGCUCAACUCCAUCCAGCCGUUGAAACUGAUGAUCUUGAGUGGGCGAGAAGUAUGCGGAAUGCGUGGUGUAGCGGUGAAAUGCAUAGAUAUCACGCAGAACUCCGAUUGCGAAGGCAGCAUACCGGCGCCCGACUGACGCUGAAGCACGAAAGCGUGGGUAUCGAACAGG